rnacentral:rRNA from 1 species
GGGCCCGCACAAGCGGAGGAACAUGUGGUUUAAUUCGAUGAUACGCGAGGAACCUUACCCGGGUUUGAACGCAUUUCGACCGACGAGGAAACUCGUUUUCUAGCAAUAGCGAUUUGCGAGGUGCUGCAUGGUUGUCGUCAGCUCGUGCCGUGAGGUGUCGGCUUAAGUGCCAUAACGAGCGCAACCCUUACCGUUAGUUACCAUCAAGUGAUGUUGGGGACUCUAGCGGGACUGCCAGCGUAAGCUGUGAGGAAGGUGGGGAUGACGUCAAAUCAGCACGGCCCUUACAUCCGGGGCGACACACGUGUUACAAUGGUAGGGACAGAGGGCAGCCACUUGGUGACAAGGAGCGAAUCCCUUAAACCCUAUCUCAGUUCGGAUCGAAGUCUGCAACCCGACUUCGUGAAGCUGGAUUCGCUAGUAAUCGCGCAUCAGCCAUGGCGCGGUGAAUACG